ensembl:lncRNA
GGGUUUGCCAUCUCACAUCAGUGACAUCAAGAGUCAUCAUGAAAUGUGUUUAGCAGAUGUUUUGUGUCUCACUGAGUCUCACCUCCAAGGCUCCUUUGUUGCAGACAGUCUUCAUUUGGACGGCUACACCAUGUUCAAACGCAACAGACAUGUGUCCUACACAAACUUUCCUCACAUGGCCAGCAGAAGUGGUGGUGGAGUUGUUGUGUAUUUGAGGAAUCAUUUUCAGGUUCAGGUAAAACAGUAUCUGCAUAAUGUCACUGAUCUUGAGUUUUUAGUGUUGAAGGUUCAGGCUCCAUUCCCUGCGCUCAUUGCUGUUGUGUACAGACCUCCAGACUACAGUUUGACACCGUUCAUGCAAAACCUGGUAAGUCUUUUAGAUUCACUUGAAAUAAUGGACUGUCACCCAAUAAUUGUGUGUGGAGAUUUUAAUGAGAACCAGUUACAGAGUGGAAGAAAACAGAUUCUGGAGCAGUUUCAGUCGAGAGGGUAUUCACAGCUGAUCACUUCUGCCACUACAGACAAGAACACCUUGCUUGACCUCAUUUUUAUUUCUCAGCCACAGCAAAGUCUUCAUUCAGGUGUCCUGAGAACAUAUUACAGUUACCACAACCCUGUGUUUUGUGUCCUGUCCUUGAGCCAAUCAUGAAGUCGUCUGCUGAAACAACAACAUCUUAACCCCAUCUUCAUGAACUGCUGAGCCAAACCUGAUCCAUCAGUGCUGGACUGCACAGAUAACUACAUGCCACAAGGAGACUGCUGUGUUAUGAACUGCCAUACCAGUGUGUCUUCAAUGGAGAAGAUGACACACCCAUCACCUGACCUCCUGCCUGAUCUGGAGACCAUCAUCAUGCUGCCACACUACACACCUCUGAGACCAUCAAUGAUGACUCAUACUGAGGAAACUGUAUUUCCUGUCAGAGAUGCUCAGUGAUCCUCAGAGCAGAGAGAGGUAUUGCUGUCUUCUGAGUUCUUCAGUGUCCCAACUGAGACAUUCAAACCUCAUUGCAGAGCUCAUGUCUUUCCUCACCAUCAUGUGAGUGUGAGAUUGCUCUGGAUUCUGGUUAUGUGGCCUGCAGCACCUAUAAGAACAAGCUCGUACAGUGUGCCUGCAUUCCAGCUUCACAGAAAAGAAGAUCAGACACCAGCGAGGGAGGAUAAGAAAGACAGACACAACAACAUUGUCAUCCCCUAUGUA